AUUGAACGCUGGCGGCAGGCUUAACACAUGCAAGUCGAGCGGAGAUGAGGUGCUUGCACCUUAUCUUAGCGGCGGACGGGUGAGUAAUGCUUAGGAAUCUGCCAUUUAGUGGGGGACAACAUUCCGAAAGGAAUGCUAAUACCGCAUACGUCCUACGGGAGAAAGCAGGGGAUCUUCGGGCCUUGCGCUAAUAGAUGAGCCUAAGUCGGAUUAGCUAGUUGGUGGGGUAAAGGCCUACCAAGGCGACGAUCUGUAGCGGGUCUGGGAGGAUGAUCCGCCACCCUGGGACUGAGACCAGGCCCAGACUCCUACGGGAGGAAGCAGUGGGGAAUAUUGGACAAGGGGGGAAACCCUGAUCCAGCCAUGCCGCGUGUGUGAAGAAGGCCUUAUGGUUGUAAAGCACUUUAAGCGAGGAGGAGGCUACUGAGACUAAUACUCUUGGAUAGUGGACGUUACUCGCAGAAUAAGCACCGGCUAACUCUGUGCCAGCAGCCGCCGUAAAAC
rnacentral:rRNA from 1 species